rnacentral:rRNA from 1 species
UACAGAGGGUGCAAGCGUUGUUCGGAAUUAUUGGGCGUAAAGCGCGUGUAGGCGGUUUUGCAAGUCGGGUGUGAAAGCCCUCAGCUCAACUGAGGAAGUGCGCCCGAAACUGCAGAUCUUGAGUACCGGAGAGGAUGGCGGAAUUCCCCAAGUAGAGGUGAAAUUCGUAGAUAUGGGGAGGAACACCAGUGGCGAAGGCGACUACCUGGCCUGUUUCUUGACGCUGAGGCGCGAAAGCUAGGGGAGCAAACGGG